rnacentral:misc_RNA from 1 species
AAGUCGUAACAAGGUUUCCGUAGGUGAACCUGCGGAAGGAUCAUUAACGAGUUCAGAAAAGGGUUGUAGCUGGCCUCAAAUCCGGGGCAUGUGCACACCCUGCUCAUCCACUCUCACACCUGUGCACUUUCUGUAGGUCGGUUCGGGAUCUGGUCCCUCGCGGGGUCGGGUUCUGUGCCUUCCUAUGUACAAUCACAAACGCUUCAGUAUUCAGAAUGUCAUUGCGAUAAUCAAAACGCAUCUUAUACAACUUUCAGCAACGGAUCUCUUGGCUCUC